UAUCGAUUGUAUCUUGAUAUACAGUCAAACCUCAUUAAUACGUAGUUGGCCAGGAACGACAUUUAGGUAUGCACGAAACGAUGUACGGAUUAACCGCCAAUGCCAGUUUAGCAGCUACUACAGGCCAGGAAGAACUACGUCACGAUGCUCCUAAACACACACACUCUCAGGCAGGCUUUAUUUGUGGGUAGGCAGCAAAAAAGCAGUUAUCUUCACUUGCCGUGACGACGGCAUCUUCGAACAGUACACUAGGGCCACACCAUGACCUCAAGCACACUUGCGGAAUGAAGAGAAAUUUUAAUGUAAUAAAUACGGUGAAGCUUCAUGAGUCCAAGCAGGAAAGGGAUCUCACAAUAAUUUCAAUUGAACGAUCCAGCUGGAAGGGCCACGUAUUCCUGCCCCUUCUAUUUAUGCAACAUUCUGUAUCGAACUCUGGCUCUGCAUACGUUAAAAGAAUCAUGAAGGCAAAUAUUAAGCCAGCAUAGACUUUUGAAAUAGGAGAAGCAUCGAAGCAUUUGUUUCGUGCCAAGAAACAACUUAGUUGAGGAGAAAACCGUGACUGAAGGAACAUCAUACCUCUACCCCAUAACAAGUCGCCCGCAACAAGCAAGGUAGUGUGAUGCAGCAUACGUCAUCACCACCUCACAACCACUUGCUGCAGUCAUUGAGUUAAAUGGCGCAUGAGAGCUGUAGUUACGCCUUUUUGCGUAAAAUGCAAAGGAGUGGCUCGAAACCAAGCAGACACAAAGCAGUUAGCUGCUUUAGGGAGACUGAAAUGAAGUUUGCGCCUAUUGUGAACAGGGCCCUACCAAUCACCUUCGAAUCUUCAUGAUGCUGAAUUUCAUUUCAGUGAUUUAUGCAGACAUUAUAUGGAUGAGUCAUUUUGUGAUGUAGUCAGCAUGAGCUUCAUGAGCCAGCAGAAUCAUUGCAGCAGUGCAUGAAAUGUGAGAGCGAGGACAGUAAGGGGUGGAGAAAAAAACUAAACUACAACCUGCAGGGUCUUCAAGGGUAGCGUCAGCAAGUUAAAAUCAAAUAGAAGUGAAUAACUUCUGUUUGAUUUCUAUGUUCAAACCCAAUGUAAUCAUCCUUUUAUUAUCAGUGGUUGACAACCAGUGACAAAAUUGGGAUGUGGCAGUGCGAUGUCAUCGGACUAGUACUGGAAUCGCCUUGUUGAGUCUGAAAUGGUGUCCUACAGUUACCUCAGAUGUUUUGAGCAUGAAUCUAUCACUACAGUAAAAUCUCGAUAUAACGAACUUCAGGGGACCACGGUAAAUGGUUUGUUAUUCUGAAAAGUCGUUAUAGUGAAAGCCCCAAAAUUAAACAUUCCGCCCAUUAACUUAACAGUUCAUAAGUUGUCAUCAUAUGAGCUAUCCACGAAGACGUCGCUGUUGGCUCUCAGCCCGCGCAGUUGCUAUUCAAGCACCACCGAAGCACCAUGUAAUAAGAGUAAUGCGCUCAAAACAGACGCUGACGCUGAGAAAACUUCUGCCAAAAAGGAAGCUCCAUGUCGCCUCGAAAUGCAAUGUUUCUUGUUUGUUUAUUUUCACAAUCCUUUCUGUGGACACCGCAACUGUCUUGCUUGAGGCGGACGACACCUUAACUAUGUUAAAGUGCAAGUGCGCGUAAAGGGCACUGCCUGGAAAGUACGAAGUGUGAUCGUGUGGCAACCCCGCGAGCACGAAGGUUAAAUUUAUCCACGCGUGUAUCUACUAUGGCCGCAGAAAGCGCGAAAAAGGCGCGCGGAAAGAAAAAAGAGACUCGCCUCCGUUGCUAGGUGACACUUGUCUGGGCGGGACAUGCGCUCGCAAAACUUGAUGCGGCAUCGCCUCAGCUAGUGUUCAAACGGUCCUGCGCGUGACAAUCGCCACUUCGGGACCUUCUCAGAAAGAACAGCUCGCCUGGCUGUCGAGCUCAGCCACUGUUACCCUGCCUCGGAACGAAAAAGCGCUAGUCGAGAACGAAAGUAUUUUCCGGUGAUGCCCGACCCGAUGCACACCGCUGGUCCCGCUGUUCUACUGAGCUGCGUUGUUGGAAUAUCCAUCCACGCGGGGCUUCGGGCACACUGCGCCGCUGUAGAGCGCAAGGGCGCCGUCCUUAACCAGGGAGGGAUCCAUUGCAACGCGCGUCGGCGUGUCAUAUGAGGGUUGCGUGGUAUGGAAAAGGCAUGUGCGAAAGAACCUGUAUGCGUGCGCGGGCGACAGCCACUUCCCUUGUGACAUGCCGCUGUCGCCAAUUCGCGUGAUCGUCGCGCUGCUUUCGAGUCUUUUUCGGAACUCGUGGAGUGAUUAUCGUGGGCGAUUGGCCUUUCGAUAGGCGGCCGCCCGGCUUUCCGACGCGCCAAUGCUGCGUGCCAGCGUAGUUUUUUCCUCAGGCGCCGUCUCAGGUUUUCUGGACCCGUGCGCCGUGGCGUCCACUUUCUGCGCCUUAUCGUCUGCUAGCCUCCUGUUUCGGCUGCCGUGACUGGAUACACGGAAAUCUAAGAAUCCCAGAUUUUGGAAAAUGAGUUCGUAGUACUGAGGUGUUGUUAACAUGACACGGAAACUGAAAACCACCGUUAUUCUAAGAAGUUUGGUAUUCUGAAGUUCGUAGUGCUGAAAUAUUUUUACAUUGAAACUAUAAGUCAGCAGGGGAUUUCUGAAAAGUUUGUAAAUCUGAAAAGUUCGUUAAUGUGGGGUUCAUUGUAACGAGAUUUUACUGUAGCUUAUCUUGAUAUUUGCUUUUAGUGUUCAUUUAAGGAGUGUAAUAUAUAUAAAGGCAGCUUUACUUAAGGUGCUUUAGAAUAAGAGUUACCGCUAUUUUAAGUCCAUGCUUCCACAAUAGGCAUUAUCACUUGCUUAAAUGUCAUACAUAUUUAGACAUUUACAGCUUUUCAAGGAAAACAUGGUACCCUAUUGCACUCACAAAGGUUCAACUUCUAAAGGGGACUAUUUCAGGUCAUUGCAUUCUUUGCAAAAACUGAGCAAACCUCAUUGUAAACCGGUGAAAAGGAUGAAGACUGAGAAAAUGCAAAAAUGACUAUGUAGUGUUUCGAAAUCUUUUGCGGUAAACAGAAUGGUUUAAUUUCUUGGGGUAACAAACAUGCCAUGCGGUGUUUUUUUUUUUUUUUUUU